UAUAUACCGGUUCUCGUUAGAUCACCGAAGUCAAGCAUCAUUGGGCGCGGUCAGUACUUGGGUGGGUGACCACCUGGGAACACUGCGUGCCGUU
rnacentral:rRNA from 1 species